rnacentral:rRNA from 1 species
CCUACGGGAGGCAGCAGUGGGGAAUUUUGGACAAUGGGCGCAAGCCUGAUCCAGCAAUGCCGCGUGCGGAUGAAGGCCUUCGGGUUGUAAACCGGUUUUGUACGGGACGAAAAGGUCUGCCCUAAUACGGUGGGCUCAUGACGGUACCGGAAGAAUAAGCACCGGCUAACUACGUGCCAGCAGCCGCGGUAAU